GUGGGGAAUUUUGGACAAUGGGCGCAAGCCUGAUCCAGCAAUGCCGCGUGCAGGAAGAAGGCCUUCGGGUUGUAAACUGCUUUUGUACGGAACGAAACGGUCCUGGUUAAUACCCGGGGCUAAUGACGGUACCGUAAGAAUAAGCACCGGCUAACUACGUGCCAGCAGCCGCGGUAAUACGUAGGGUGCAAGCGUUAAUCGGAAUUACUGGGCGUAAAGCGUGCGCAGGCGGUGCUGUAAGACAGGCGUGAAAUCCCCGGGCUUAACCUGGGAAUUGCGCUUGUGACUGCAGUGCUGGAGUGCGGCAGAGGGGGAUGGAAUUCCGCGUGUAGCAGUGAAAUGCGUAGAUAUGCGGAGGAACACCGAUGGCGAAGGCAAUCCCCUGGGCCUGCACUGACGCUCAUGCACGAAAGCGUGGGGAGCAAAUAGGAUUAGAAACCCCGGUAGUCC
rnacentral:rRNA from 1 species